UACAACAUAGUGUUAAUGCAUCAGAUCCCAUUAAAACUCUACAGUUAAGCAUGCUCAGGAUAGACUAGUAGUGGGAUGGGUGACUGCCUGAGAAGUCCCAGUGUUUUAC
rnacentral:rRNA from 1 species